UUUUGACCUCAGUUCAGACAAGAUUACCCGCCGAAUUUAAGCAUAUUACUAAGCGGAGGAAAAGAAACUAACAAGGAUUCCCCUAGUAACGGCGAGCGAACCGGGAAGAGCCCAACUUGAAAAUCUAAACGUUUUACGUUUCGAAUUGUAGUCUAGAGACGCGUUCUCUGUCACGAACCAGCUUCAAGUCCUUUGGAAAAAGGCGUCAGAGAGGGUGAGAACCCCGUCGAGCUCGGUUUCAGCGGCAUCACGAGGCGUAGUCGAGGAGUCGGGUUGUUUGGGAAUGCAGCCCUAAGCAGGUGGUAAAUUCCAUCUAAGGCUAAAUAUUGGCGAGAGACCGAUAGCGAACAAGUACCGUGAGGGAAAGAUGAAAAGACCUUUGAAAAGAGAGUUAAAAAGUACCUGAAAUUGUUGAGGGGGAAGCGAUUCAAACCUGCGGGUGCUCCCAGGGCAGUAGCAAUACACGCGCCUGGGGCUGGUCAACGUGGGUUAGGCUUGUGGGAUAUCACUACGAGCUUG
rnacentral:rRNA from 1 species